UACGAAGGGGGCGAGCGUUGUUCGGAAUUACUGGGCGUAAAGGGCGCGUAGGCGGCCCGCUAAGUCGAACGUGAAAUCCCCGAGCUCAACUCGGGAACUGCGUCCGAUACUGGCGGGCUUGAAUCCGGGAGAGGGAUGCGGAAUUCCAGGUGUAGCGGUGAAAUGCGUAGAUAUCUGGAGGAACACCGGUGGCGAAGGCGGCAUCCUGGACCGGCAUUGACGCUGAGGCGCGAAAGCUAGGGGAGCAAACGGG
rnacentral:rRNA from 1 species